GACGGAAGGUGCAAGCGUUGCUCGGAAUCACUGGGCGUAAAGGGUGCGUAGGCGGCUUCUUAAGUCUGGUGUGAAAGCCCAGGGCUCAGCUCUGGAAGUGCACUAGAUACUGGGAAGCUUGAGUACCGGAGGGGAGAGUGGAAUUCCUGGUGUAGCGGUGAAAUGCGUAGAUAUCAGGAGGAACACCGGUGGCGAAGGCGGAUCUCUGGGCCAUUACUGACGCUGAGGAGCGAAAGCGUGGGGAGCAAACAGG
rnacentral:rRNA from 1 species